rnacentral:rRNA from 1 species
AUCGAACGCUGGCGGCGGGCAUAACACAUGCAAGCCGAACGAGAAAGUUUGGAGCAAUACAGUGAGUCUAGUGGCGACCGGGUGAGUAGACACGUGGGACAACCUACGCCGUAGUGGGGAUAACUCCGGCGAAACCGAGGGCUAAUACCGCAUUGAUUACCAUCUUGGAACGAUCAAAGUCAGGGCAACCUGACGCUUGGGUGAGGGGGAGGGCUCGCGGCCUGAUUCAGCUAGUUGGUGGAGGGGUAAUGGCUCACCAAGGCGAAGAUCGGGUAUCCGGCCUGAGAGGGACGACCAGGCACACUGGAACUGAGAACACGGUCCAGACUCCUACGGGUAGGCAAGCAGUCGGAGAAUUUUGCGCAAUGGGGGAAACCCUGAUGCAGCAACGCCGCGUGGAGGAUGAAGUCCCUUUGGGAUGUAAACUCCUUUCGACCAAGGACGAUUAAUGACGGUACCUGGUGGAAGAAGCCCCGGCUAACUCUGUGCCAGCAGCCGCGGUAAUACAGAGGGGGCAAGCGUUGUUCGGAAUUAUUGGGCGUAAAGGGUGCGUAGGCGGUGCGGUAAGUCAUUCUGUGAAAUCUCCCGGCUUAACUCGGAGUCCUGCAGGAGAAACUGCCGUGCUGGAGUAUGGGAGAGGUGAGUGGAAUUCCUGGUUGUAGCGGUGAAAUGCGUAGAUAUCAGGAGGAACACCUGUGGCGAAAGCGGCGCACUGGACCAUAACUGACGCUGAGGCAGCGAAAGCUAGGGGAGCAAACAGGAUUAGAUACCCUGGUAGUCCUAGCCCUAAACGAUGAUUGCUUGGUGUAGCAGGUACCCAAUCCUGCUGUGCCGCAGCUAACGCGUUAAGCAAUCCGCCUGGGGAGUACGGUCGCAAGGCUGAAACUCAAAGGAAUUGACGGGGGCCCGCACAAGCGGUGGAGCAUGUGGUUCAAUUCGACGCAACGCGAAGAACCUUACCUGGGCUCGAAGCGCAGUGGACAGCGGGUAGGAAAUAUCGUCUUCCCCUAAAGGGACUGCUGCAUAGGUGCUGCAUGGCUGUCGUCAGCUCGUGUCGUGAGAUGUUGGGUUAAGUCCCGCAACGAGCGCAACCCUUAUUGCCUAGUUGCCAUCGAGGUCAAGUUGGGCACUCUAGUGAAACUGCCCUCGGAUAACGAGGAGGAAGGUGGGGAUGACGUCAAGUCCUCAUGGCCUUUAUGUCCAGGGCUACACACGUGCUACAAUGGCAGGAUACAAACCGUCGCAACCCGCGAGGGGGAGCUAAUCGAGAAAAGGCGGCCUCAGUUCGGAUUGUAGUCUGCAACUCGACUACAUGAAGCUGGAAUCGUUAGUAAUCGCGAGAUCAGAACGCUGCGGUGAAUACGUUCCCGGCCUUGUACACACCGCCCGUCACAUCACGAAAGUGGGUUGUACUAGAAGCAGGUGAGCCUACCGCAAGGAGGUAGCCUCCAAGGUAUAGCUCAUGAUUGGGGUG